rnacentral:misc_RNA from 1 species
AACGCACAUUGCGCCCCUUGGUAUUCCAUGGGGCAUGCCUGUUCGAGCGUCAUCUACACCCUCAAGCUCUGCUUGGUGUUGGGCGUCUGUCCCGCCUCCGCGCGUGGACUCGCCCCAAAUCCAUUGGCAGCGUCCCUUGCCCCCUCUCGCGCAGCACAUUGCGCUUCUCGAGGGCGGCUCCGGGGCGCGACCCACCGAAGAUGACCACCGUCUUUGACCUCGGAUCAGGUAGGGAUACCCGCUGAACUUAA